GCCCAUAGCUCCUUCGACGGCGCCGCCUAGGAACGCGGAGAAAAUAUGACAAAGGAACGGCCAAAAAUAAAAAGAAAGACCUUUCUUUUGAAAAAACAAACAAAUAAAAGGAAUGCAACACAAGGACUUCCCAGGAGGUCACCCAUCCUAGUACUACUCUCGCCCAAGCACGCUUAACUUCGGAGUUCUGAUGGGAUCCGGUGCUUUAGUGCUGGUAUGAUCGCAUCCGACAUACCGUGCGUUCUCCUCCCCUUUAUGCCCGCGCCUCCGUGUACGGCCCGCCCAUAGCUCCUUCGACGGCGCCGCCUAGGAACGCGGAGAAAAUAUGACAAAGGAACGGCCAAAAAUAAAAAGAAAGACCUUUCUUUUGAAAAAACAAACGCCUCCGUGUACGGCCCGCCCAUAGCUCCUUCGACGGCGCCGCCUAGGAACGCGGAGAAAAUAUGACAAAGGAACGGCCAAAAAUAAAAAGAAAGACCUUUCUUUUGAAAAAACAAACAAAAAAAAGGAAUGCAACACGAGGACUUCCCAGGAGGUCACCCAUCCUAGUACUACUCUCGCCCAAGCACGCUUAACUUCGGAGUUCUGAUGGGAUCCGGUGCUUUAGUGCUGGUAUGAUCGCAUCCGACAUACCGUGCGUUCUCCUCCCCUUUAUGCCCGCGCCUCCGUGUACGGCCCGCCCAUAGCUCCUUCGACGGCGCCGCCUAGGAACGCGGAGAAAAUAUGACAAAGGAACGGCCAAAAAUAAAAAGAAAGACCUUUCUUUUGAAAAAACAAACGCCUCCGUGUACGGCCCGCCCAUAGCUCCUUCGACGGCGCCGCCUAGGAACGCGGAGAAAAUAUGACAAAGGAACGGCCAAAAAUAAAAAGAAAGACCUUUCUUUUGAAAAAACAAACAAAAAAAAGGAAUGCAACACGAGGACUUCCCAGGAGGUCACCCAUCCUAGUACUACUCUCGCCCAAGCACGCUUAACUUCGGAGUUCUGAUGGGAUCCGGUGCUUUAGUGCUGGUAUGAUCGCAUCCGACAUACCGUGCGUUCUCCUCCCCUUUAUGCCCGCGCCUCCGUGUACGGCCCGCCCAUAGCUCCUUCGACGGCGCCGCCUAGGAACGCGGAGAAAAUAUGACAAAGGAACGGCCAAAAAUAAAAAGAAAGACCUUUCUUUUGAAAAAACAAACAAAUAAAAGGAAUGCAACACGAGGACUUCCCAGGAGGUCACCCAUCCUAGUACUACUCUCGCCCAAGCACGCUUAACUUCGGAGUUCUGAUGGGAUCCGGUGCUUUAGUGCUGGUAUGAUCGCAUCCGACAUACCGUGCGUUCUCCUCCCCUUUAUGCCCGCGCCUCCGUGUACGGCCCGCCCAUAGCUCCUUCGACGGCGCCGCCUAGGAACGCGGAGAAAAUAUGACAAAGGAACGGCCAAAAAUAAAAAGAAAGACCUUUCUUUUGAAAAAACAAACAAAAAAAAAGGAAUGCAACACGAGGACUUCCCAGGAGGUCACCCAUCCUAGUACUACUCUCGCCCAAGCACGCUUAACUUCGGAGUUCUGAUGGGAUCCGGUGCUUUAGUGCUGGUAUGAUCGCAUCCGACAUACCGUGCGUUCUCCUCCCCUUUAUGCCCGCGCCUCCGUGUACGGCCCGCCCAUAGCUCCUUCGACGGCGCCGCCUAGGAACGCGGAGAAAAUAUGACAAAGGAACGGCCAAAAAUAAAAAGAAAGACCUUUCUUUUGAAAAAACAAACAAAAAAAAGGAAUGCAACACGAGGACUUCCCAGGAGGUCACCCAUCCUAGUACUACUCUCGCCCAAGCACGCUUAACUUCGGAGUUCUGAUGGGAUCCGGUGCUUUAGUGCUGGUAUGAUCGCAUCCGACAUACCGUGCGUUCUCCUCCCCUUUAUGCCCGCGCCUCCGUGUACGGCCCGCCCAUAGCUCCUUCGACGGCGCCGCCUAGGAACGCGGAGAAAAUAUGACAAAGGAACGGCCAAAAAUAAAAAGAAAGACCUUUCUUUUGAAAAAACAAACAAAAAAAAGGAAUGCAACACGAGGACUUCCCAGGAGGUCACCCAUCCUAGUACUACUCUCGCCCAAGCACGCUUAACUUCGGAGUUCUGAUGGGAUCCGGUGCUCUAGUGCUGGUAUGAUCGCAUCCGACAUACCGUGCGUUCUCCUCCCCUUUAUGCCCGCGCCUCCGUGUACGGCCCGCCCAUAGCUCCUUCGACGGCGCCGCCUAGGAACGCGGAGAAAAUAUGACAAAGGAACGGCCAAAAAUAAAAAGAAAGACCUUUCUUUUGAAAAAACAAACAAAAAAAAAGGAAUGCAACACGAGGACUUCCCAGGAGGUCACCCAUCCUAGUACUACUCUCGCCCAAGCACGCUUAACUUCGGAGUUCUGAUGGGAUCCGGUGCUUUAGUGCUGGUAUGAUCGCAUCCGACAUACCGUGCGUUCUCCUCCCCUUUAUGCCCGCGCCUCCGUGUACGGCCCGCCCAUAGCUCCUUCGACGGCGCCGCCUAGGAACGCGGAGAAAAUAUGACAAAGGAACGGCCAAAAAUAAAAAGAAAGACCUUUCUUUUGAAAAAACAAACAAAUAAAAGGAAUGCAACACGAGGACUUCCUAGGAGGUCACCCAUCCUAGUACUACUCUCGCCCAAGCACGCUUAACUUCGGAGUUCUAAUGGGAUCCGGUGCUUUAGUGCUGGUAUGAUCGCAUCCGACAUACCGUGCGUUCUCCUCCCCUUUAUGCCCGCGCCUCCGUGUACGGCCCGCCCAUAGCUCCUUCGACGGCGCCGCCUAGGAACGCGGAGAAAAUAUGACAAAGGAACGGCCAAAAAUAAAAAGAAAGACCUUUCUUUUGAAAAAACAAACAAAAAAAAGGAAUGCAACACGAGGACUUCCCAGGAGGUCACCCAUCCUAGUACUACUCUCGCCCAAGCACGCUUAACUUCGGAGUUCUGAUGGGAUCCGGUGCUUUAGUGCUGGUAUGAUCGCAUCCGACAUACCGUGCGUUCUCCUCCCCUUUAUGCCCGCGCCUCCGUGUACGGCCCGCCCAUAGCUCCUUCGACGGCGCCGCCUAGGAACGCGGAGAAAAUAUGACAAAGGAACGGCCAAAAAUAAAAAGAAAGACCUUUCUUUUGAAAAAACAAACAAAAAAAAGGAAUGCAACACGAGGACUUCCCAGGAGGUCACCCAUCCUAGUACUACUCUCGCCCAAGCACGCUUAACUUCGGAGUUCUGAUGGGAUCCGGUGCUUUAGUGCUGGUAUGAUCGCAUCCGACAUACCGUGCGUUCUCCUCCCCUUUAUGCCCGCGCCUCCGUGUACGGCCCGCCCAUAGCUCCUUCGACGGCGCCGCCUAGGAACGCGGAGAAAAUAUGACAAAGGAACGGCCAAAAAUAAAAAGAAAGACCUUUCUUUUGAAAAAACAAACAAAAAAAAGGAAUGCAACACGAGGACUUCCCAGGAGGUCACCCAUCCUAGUACUACUCUCGCCCAAGCACGCUUAACUUCGGAGUUCUGAUGGGAUCCGGUGCUUUAGUGCUGGUAUGAUCGAAUCCGACAUACCGUGCGUUCUCCUCCCCUUUAUGCCCGCGCCUCCGUGUACGGUCCGCCCAUAGCUCCUUCGACGGCGCCGCCUAGGAACGCGGAGAAAAUAUGACAAAGGAACGGCCAAAAAUAAAAAGAAAGACCUUUCUUUUGAAAAAACAAACAAAUAAAAGGAAUGCAACACGAGGACUUCCCAGGAGGUCACCCAUCCUAGUACUACUCUCGCCCAAGCACGCUUAACUUCGGAGUUCUGAUGGGAUCCGGUGCUUUAGUGCUGGUAUGAUCGCAUCCGACAUACCGUGCGUUCUCCUCCCCUUUAUGCCCGCGCCUCCGUGUACGGCCCGCCCAUAGCUCCUUCGACGGCGCCGCCUAGGAACGCGGAGAAAAUAUGACAAAGGAACGGCCAAAAAUAAAAAGAAAGACCUUUCUUUUGAAAAAACAAACAAAUAAAAGGAAUGCAACACGAGGACUUCCCAGGAGGUCACCCAUCCUAGUACUACUCUCGCCCAAGCACGCUUAACUUCGGAGUUCUGAUGGGAUCCGGUGCUUUAGUGCUGGUAUGAUCGCAUCCGACAUACCGUGCGUUCUCCUCCCCUUUAUGCCCGCGCCUCCGUGUACGGCCCGCCCAUAGCUCCUUCGACGGCGCCGCCUAGGAACGCGGAGAAAAUAUGACAAAGGAACGGCCAAAAAUAAAAAGAAAGACCUUUCUUUUGAAAAAACAAACAAAAAAAAGGAAUGCAGCACCAGGACUUCCCGGAAGGUCACCCAUCCAAAUACAACUCUCGCCGAACCACGUUUAACUUCGAAUUUCUAAUGGAAUCCGGGGCUUUAGAGCUGGAAUGAUCGCAUCCGACAUACCGUGCGUUCUCCUCCCCUUUAUGCCCGCGCCUCCGUGUACGGCCCGCCCAUAGCUCCUUCGACGGCGCCGCCUAGGAACGCGGAGAAAAUAUGACAAAGGAGCGGCCAAAAAUAAAAAGAAAGACCUUUCUUUUGAAAAAACAAACAAAUAAAAGGAAUGCAACACGAGGACUUCCUAGGAGGUCACCCAUCCUAGUACUACUCUCGCCCAAGCACGCUUAACUUCGGAGUUCUGAUGGGAUCCGGUGCUUUAGUGCUGGUAUGAUCGCAUCCGACAUACCGUGCGUUCUCCUCCCCUUUAUGCCCGCGCCUCCGUGUACGGCCCGCCCAUAGCUCCUUCGACGGCGCCGCCUAGGAACGCGGAGAAAAUAUGACAAAGGAACGGCCAAAAAUAAAAAGAAAGACCUUUCUUUUGAAAAAACAAACGCCUCCGUGUACGGCCCGCCCAUAGCUCCUUCGACGGCGCCGCCUAGGAACGCGGAGAAAAUAUGACAAAGGAACGGCCAAAAAUAAAAAGAAAGACCUUUCUUUUGAAAAAACAAACAAAAAAAAGGAAUGCAACACGAGGACUUCCCAGGAGGUCACCCAUCCUAGUACUACUCUCGCCCAAGCACGCUUAACUUCGGAGUUCUGAUGGGAUCCGGUGCUUUAGUGCUGGUAUGAUCGCAUCCGACAUACCGUGCGUUCUCCUCCCCUUUAUGCCCGCGCCUCCGUGUACGGCCCGCCCAUAGCUCCUUCGACGGCGCCGCCUAGGAACGCGGAGAAAAUAUGACAAAGGAACGGCCAAAAAUAAAAAGAAAGACCUUUCUUUUGAAAAAACAAACAAAUAAAAGGAAUGCAACACGAGGACUUCCCAGGAGGUCACCCAUCCUAGUACUACUCUCGCCCAAGCACGCUUAACUUCGGAGUUCUGAUGGGAUCCGGUGCUUUAGUGCUGGUAUGAUCGCAUUCGACAUACCGAUGCGUUCUCAUCCCCGUUAUGCGCCGCGCCUCUGUGUACGGCCCGCCCAUAGCUCCUUUGACUGCGCCUCGUAGGAUCGCGGAGAAUAUAUGACAAAGGCACGGCCAAACAUAAAACGAAAGACCUCUCUUUUGCAACAACAAACAAAAUAAAGGAAUGCAACACGAGGACUUCCCAGGAGGUCACCCAUCCUAGUACUAGUCUCGCUCAAGCACGCUGAUCUUCGGAGUUCUGAUGGGAUCCGGUGCUUUAGUGCUGGUAUGAUCGCAUCCGACAUACCGUGCGUUCUCCUCCCCUUUAUGCCCGCGCCUCCGUGUACGGCCCGCCCAUAGCUCCUUCGACGGCGCCGCCUAGGAACGCGGAGAAAAUAUGACAAAGGAACGGCCAAAAAUAAAAAGAAAGACCUUUCUUUUGAAAAAACAAACAAAAAAAAGGAAUGCAACACGAGGACUUCCCAGGAGGUCACCCAUCCUAGUACUACUCUCGCCCAAGCACGCUUAACUUCGGAGUUCUGAUGGGAUCCGGUGCUUUAGUGCUGGUAUGAUCGCAUCCGACAUACCGUGCGUUCUCCUCCCCUUUAUGCCCGCGCCUCCGUGUACGGCCCGCCCAUAGCUCCUUCGACGGCGCCGCCUAGGAACGCGGAGAAAAUAUGACAAAGGAACGGCCAAAAAUAAAAAGAAAGACCUUUCUUUUGAAAAAACAAACAAAUAAAAGGAAUGCAACACGAGGACUUCCCAGGAGGUCACCCAUCCUAGUACUACUCUCGCCCAAGCACGCUUAACUUCGGAGUUCUGAUGGGAUCCGGUGCUUUAGUGCUGGUAUGAUCGCAUCCGACAUACCGUGCGUUCUCCUCCCCUUUAUGCCCGCGCCUCCGUGUACGGCCCGCCCAUAGCUCCUUCGACGAGCCCGCCUAGGAACGCGGAGAAAAUAUGACAAAGGAACGGCCAAAAAUAAAAAGAAAGACCUUUCUUUUGAAAAAACAAACAAAUAAAAGGAAUGCAACACGAGGACUUCCCAGGAGGUCACCCAUCCUAGUACUACUCUCGCCCAAGCACGCUUAACUUCGGAGUUCUGAUGGGAUCCGGUGCUUUAGUGCUGGUAUGAUCGCAUCCGACAUACCGUGCGUUCUCCUCCCCUUUAUGCCCGCGCCUCCGUGUACGGCCCGCCCAUAGCUCCUUCGACGGCGCCGCCUAGGAACGCGGAGAAAAUAUGACAAAGGAACGGCCAAAAAUAAAAAGAAAGACCUUUCUUUUGAAAAAACAAACAAAAAAAAGGAAUGCAACACGAGGACUUCCCAGGAGGUCACCCAUCCUAGUACUACUCUCGCCCAAGCACGCUUAACUUCGGAGUUCUGAUGGGAUCCGGUGCUUUAGUGCUGGUAUGAUCGCAUCCGACAUACCGUGCGUUCUCCUCCCCUUUAUGCCCGCGCCUCCGUGUACGGCCCGCCCAUAGCUCCUUCGACGGCGCCGCCUAGGAACGCGGAGAAAAUAUGACAAAGGAACGGCCAAAAAUAAAAAGAAAGACCUUUCUUUUGAAAAAACAAACAAAUAAAAGGAAUGCAACACGAGGACUUCCCAGGAGGUCACCCAUCCUAGUACUACUCUCGCCCAAGCACGCUUAACUUCGGAGUUCUGAUGGGAUCCGGUGCUUUAGUGCUGGUAUGAUCGCAUCCGACAUACCGUGCGUUCUCCUCCCCUUUAUGCCCGCGCCUCCGUGUACGGCCCGCCCAUAGCUCCUUCGACGGCGCCGCCUAGGAACGCGGAGAAAAUAUGACAAAGGAACGGCCAAAAAUAAAAAGAAAGACCUUUCUUUUGAAAAAACAAACAAAUAAAAGGAAUGCAACACGAGGACUUCCCAGGAGGUCACCCAUCCUAGUACUACUCUCGCCCAAGCACGCUUAACUUCGGAGUUCUGAUGGGAUCCGGUGCUUUAGUGCUGGUAUGAUCGCAUCCGACAUACCGUGCGUUCUCCUCCCCUUUAUGCCCGCGCCUCCGUGUACGGUCCGCCCAUAGCUCUUUAGUUGGCGCCUCCUAGGAACGCGGAGAAAAUAUGACAAAGGAACGGCCAAAAAUAAAAAGAAAGACCUUUCUUUUGAAAAAACAAACGCCUCCGUGUACGGCCCGCCCAUAGCUCCUUCGACGGCGCCGCCUAGGAACGCGGAGAAAAUAUGACAAAGGAACGGCCAAAAAUAAAAAGAAAGACCUUUCUUUUGAAAAAACAAACAAAAAAAAGGAAUGCAACACGAGGACUUCCCAGGAGGUCACCCAUCCUAGUACUACUCUCGCCCAAGCACGCUUAACUUCGGAGUUCUGAUGGGAUCCGGUGCUUUAGUGCUGGUAUGAUCGCAUCCGACAUACCGUGCGUUCUCCUCCCCUUUAUGCCCGCGCCUCCGUGUACGGCCCGCCCAUAGCUCCUUCGACGGCGCCGCCUAGGAACGCGGAGAAAAUAUGACAAAGGAACGGCCAAAAAUAAAAAGAAAGACCUUUCUUUUGAAAAAACAAACAAAUAAAAGGAAUGCAACACGAGGAGUUCCCAGGAGGUCACCCAUCCUAGUACUACUCUCGCCCAAGCACGCUUAACUUCGGAGUUCUGAUGGGAUCCGGUGCUUUAGUGCUGGUAUGAUCGCAUCCGACAUACCGUGCGUUCUCCUCCCCUUUAUGCCCGCGCCUCCGUGUACGGCCCGCCCAUAGCUCCUUCGAUGGCGCCGCCUAGGAACGCGGAGAAAAUAUGACAAAGGAACGGCCAAAAAUAAAAAGAAAGACCUUUCUUUUGAAAAAACAAACGCCUCCGUGUACGGCCCGCCCAUAGCUCCUUCGACGGCGCCGCCUAGGAACGCGGAGAAAAUAUGACAAAGGAACGGCCAAAAAUAAAAAGAAAGACCUUUCUUUUGAAAAAACAAACAAAAAAAAGGAAUGCAACACGAGGACUUCCCAGGAGGUCACCCAUCCUAGUACUACUCUCGCCCAAGCACGCUUAACUUCGGAGUUCGGAUGGGAUCCGGUGCUUUAGUGCUGGUAUGAUCGCAUCCGACAUACCGUGCGUUCUCCUCCCCUUUAUGCCCGCGCCUCCGUGUACGGCCCGCCCAUAGCUCCUUCGACGGCGCCGCCUAGG
rnacentral:lncRNA from 1 species